rnacentral:rRNA from 1 species
GAAACGACUGCUAAUACCGCAUAAGCCCACGGCUCGGCAUCGAGCAGAGGGAAAAGGAGUGAUCCGCUUUGAGAUGGCCUCGCGUCCGAUUAGCUAAUUGGUGAGGUAACGGCCCACCAAGGCGACGAUCGGUAGCCGGACUGAGAGGUUGAACGGCCACAUUGGGACUGAGACACGGCCCAGACUCCUACGGGAGGCAGCAGUGGGGAAUAUUGCACAAUGGGGGAAACCCUGAUGCAGCGACGCCGCGUGGAGGAAGAAGGUCUUCGGAUUGUAAACUCCUGUUGUUGAGGAAGAUAAUGACGGUACUCAACAAGGAAGUGACGGCUAACUACGUGCCAGCAGCCGCGGUAAAACGUAGGUCACAAGCGUUGUCCGGAAUUACUGGGUGUAAAGGGAGCGCAGGCGGGAGAACAAGUUGGAAGUGAAAUCCAUGGGCUCAACCCAUGAACUGCUUUCAAAACUGUUUUUCUUGAGUAGUGCAGAGGUAGGCGGAAUUCCCGGUGUAGCGGUGGAAUGCGUAGAUAUCGGGAGGAACACCAGUGGCGAAGGCGGCCUACUGGGCACCAACUGACGCUGAGGCUCGAAAGUGUGGGCAGCAAACAGGAUUAGAUACCCUGGUAGUCCACACCGUAAACGAUGAUUACGAGGUGUUGGAGGAUUGACCCCUUCAGUG